rnacentral:rRNA from 1 species
AGCCUGAGCAGCAACGCCGCGUGGGUGAUGAAGGCCUUAGGGUUGUAAAUCCCUUUUGCCGGGGAAGAAUUUUGACGGUACCCGGCGAAUAAGCCACGGCUAACUACGUGCCAGCAGCCGCGGUAAGACGUAGGUGGCAAGCGUUAUCCGGAUUUACUGGGCGUAAAGCGUACGUAGGCGGCUCCAUAAGUCUGUCGUGAAAUCUCCCGGCUCAACCGGGAGCGGCCGAUGGAAACUGUGACGCUGGAGGGGCGUAGAGGCAAGCGGAAUUCCCGGAGUAGUGGUGGAAUGCGUAGAUACCGGGAGGAACACCAGUGGCGCAAGCGGCUUGCCAGACGCAUCCUGACGCUGAGGUACGAAAGCGUGGGUAGCGAACCGGAUUAGAUACCCGGGUAGUCCACGCCGUAAACGAUGGAUGCUAGUCGUGGGGGGUAUCGACCCCCUCUGUGACGCAGCUAACGCAAUAAGCAUCCCGCCUGGGGAGUACGGCCGCAAGGCUAAAACUCAAAG